GGAUGCAUUAAGAAACUAAACAUUUAUGUUAUUCUUUUUUAAUUAUAAAGUUCUCUCAUAAACUAACUUUCUCCAUCUCCCUCUUCAGAGCAUUAGCUCUCACCAAGCUCCCAAUGGUAUUCACAGCCAAUUUCAAGUCAUCCAAUGGAUUCCCAGGCACCACUCUCUUAUACAAGUAACUGUCGAAUGUCAUCUUCUGCACA
rnacentral:misc_RNA from 1 species